GAUGAACGCUGGCGGCGUGCCUAAUACAUGCAAGUCGAGCGAACAGACGAGGAGCUUGCUCCUCUGACGUUAGCGGUGGACGGGUGAGUAACACGUGGAUAACCUACCUAUAAGACUGGGAUAACUUCGGGAAACCGGAGCUAAUACCGGAUAACAUGUUGAACCGCAUGGUUCAACAGUGAAAGACGGUCUUGCUGUCACUUAUAGAUGGAUCCGCGCCGCAUUAGCUAGUUGGUAAGGUAACGGCUUACAAAGGCAACGAUGCGUAGCCGACCUGAGAGGGUGAUCGGCCACACUGGAACUGAGACACGGUCCAGACUCCUACGGGAGGCAGCAGUAGGGAAUCUUCCGCAAUGGGCGAAAGCCUGACGGAGCAACGCCGCGUGAGUGAAGAAGGUCUUCGGAUCGUAAAACUCUGCUAUUAGGGAAGAACAAAUGUGUAAGUAACUAUGCACGUCUUGACGGUACCUAAUCAGAAAGCCACGGCUAACUACGUGUCAGCCGCCGCAGUAA
rnacentral:rRNA from 1 species